CUUGUUGGUAAAGUCUAUUGUCUGUGUGGCAGCAGUGAGGGUAGAGGUCUCUGGGGUGUCUGUAUGUUGUUGGUAAAGUCUAUUGUCUGUGUGGCAGCAGUAAGGGUAGAGGUCUGUGGGGUGUCUGUAUCUUGAUGGUAAAGUCUAUUGUCUGUGUGGCAGCAGUAAGGGUAGGCGUC